rnacentral:rRNA from 1 species
CCUGAAGGAACGUUGAAGACGAUGACGUUGAUAGGUCGGGUGUGUAAGUGUAGCGAUACAUUGAGCUAACCGAUACUAAUGAACCGUGAGGCUUAACCUUACAACGCCGAAG